GACGAACGCUGGCGGCGUGCUUAACACAUGCAAGUCGUACGGUAAGGCCCUUUCGGGGGUACACGAGUGGCGAACGGGUGAGUAACACGUGAGUAACCUGCCCACAACUUUGGGAUAACGCUAGGAAACUGGUGCUAAUACUGGAUAUGUGCUCCUGCUGCAUGGUGGGGGUUGGAAAGCUCCGGCGGUUGUGGAUGGACUCGCGGCCUAUCAGCUUGUUGGUGGGGUAGUGGCCUACCAAGGCGGCGACGGGUAGCCGGCCUGAGAGGGUGACCGGCCACAUUGGGACUGAGAUACGGCCCAGACUCCUACGGGAGGCAGCAGUGGGAAUAUUGCACAAUGGGCGCAAGCCUGAUGCAGCAACGCCGCGUGCGGGAUGACGGCCUUCGGGUUGUAAACCGCUUUCAGCAGGGACGAAGCUUUUUGUGACGGUACCUGCAGAAGAAGCACCGGCUAACUACGU
rnacentral:rRNA from 1 species